rnacentral:lncRNA from 1 species
ACUAGAAAAGGCUGUUUAAAUGAGCACCCCUCAACUGAUUUUUUGAAAAUGAUGCUAAAUAACCCAUUGUACCCAAAAAGAGAAAAGCAAACAGAUAAAAUCACAACCUACACCAUGAAAAAUAUCCCAAAGUGAAAAAGCAGUUAUAUAAACAGCUAGUGAAAAAGGAAUGGAAAGAAAGCAGAAAUGGAAUACAAGAGAAGGGUACAAGAAGCAGGAAACUGAACAUACAUCCCUUGCUAAAUAGAAACACAGAAUGACUCCAGAGAUAACUAGAAAUGCCAAGGAUGCAAAGUAA